rnacentral:rRNA from 1 species
UACGUAGGGUGCGAGCGUUGUCCGGAAUUAUUGGGCGUAAAGAGCUCGUAGGCGGUGUGUCACGUCGGCCGUGAAAACCUGCAGCUUAACUGUGGGCGUGCGGUCGAUACGGGCAUCACUGGAGUUCGGCAGGGGAGACUGGAAUUCCUGGUGUAGCGGUGAAAUGCGCAGAUAUCAGGAGGAACACCGGUGGCGAAGGCGGGGUCUCUGGGCCGAUACUGACGCUGAGGAGCGAAAGCGUGGGGGAGCAAAACAGG